rnacentral:lncRNA from 9 species
CUGGAAUGUUAGCAAGCUAUUUGCUGGAAAAAAUGCCCACAACAGGCCUAAUGUUGAUCACAUUAAUGCGUUUGAGUGAGUAUGGAGUGCAAAUGAUUGAAAAUGCUUCCAGAUCCCCGUUGCAAGGGACAAAGCAGGCUCUGUUCUCUGAUCUGAUGGUCAUUUUUUUUUCCAGCGGAGGAUGUGGGGCAGGAAGAGGGAAGAGGGCCAAUCUCUGUCUAAUGGUUCCAAACAGGGCCCGGGCCCGGCCCUCUGGAUGCUGACGAGUGGGAAAUGAAACACAGAUGGGUCAGAUGGGUAAGGAGAGGGGGAUUACAGGUCAGGCCAAAGAGUUGGAAUAAAUUAAGUGCUUAUGAGGUACAGAAUGGCACAUUGUUUAAGUGAAUGGACAGGGAAAAAACAUUCCAGCAUUGUUCAUCCGCCGAGGGAGCCCAACGCUCCUCUUCCCAGACGAGCCCAGGCCACAGAGCGCCUCCUCCUCGCCAGGAUGUUUGUGACCCACAGACUGAAAACGCGGCCAGGCGGUGCCCGAAACAUUAUCCUAGCCUCCAAAGAGGCCAGUUUGGCUUUAUUACACGGGAGAUGUAAUUUAUUGGGAGAAAUGUUUGGGUUCGUGUGUCGGAUGGUGGAGAGUCAGAUUUGGAGUUCCCUAGGGAUCUCCGAGGAGAAGGAGAAUUCAGGCAAAGCUGUCCAUUCGGUUGGUAACGAUACAAGCAGGAGAAUAGGACGGAAAUCCAAUUCUUCUGCUCCCUGGGGUGUGACUCUCAUACUGCAUCGCACAGCUUUCAUUUCGCGAAGAACUUGUGGGUAAGCCUUUCGCCCAACCUAGGAAUUCUUUUCAGAGGAAGUCAUCAAUCCCCAAGUACCCAUUACUUCUUCUUUUCUUUUUGUCUUUCAAAACAGGUAACACAGACAGAAACAUGAGGGCUUGGGGCCACAUGGUAGGAAUUUUAUUUCCC